AUGCGUCGGCGAUCGCUUCCCGGCGGUUCAGCUAUGGGGAAUCCUGGUAGGCACGAGAAGGAUGGAAGCAUGAAGGCGAUGGUUAAAUUUGAUGGUGCUCACAUCUCGCCCAUAAAAAGGCACAAUAAUCAGUCCAAGGUGGCGCCGGAGGAGUUGCAGCCAAUUUGGGAGGAGUUCCAGCCGAUCUAUCUGAAUGGGAAGGUUCAGUUUGCAGACUGCCUCCACUGCCACAACCGCCUCGGCUACAAUGGGGAUAGCUUUCUGCGCCGGCAUCUGAAAACCUGCCCAGCCAAACCGGAAGCGACGUCGGCCGAAGUGACGGAGUGGAUGUCGCCACAGGAUUCCUGCCUCCCAAUUGUGACGACCGACGACAUAAGCUCAGUAAGUCCCUUAAAAUGGAGGUCCAAAAUAUGGGAGGGUUUCACACCCAUCUUCGUUGAGGGGGAACUGCAGGGUGCAGAUUGCAUCCAUUGCCACAAGCGCCUCAGCAAACAUGGAGGCCAUCUGAAUCGACAUGCUCUAGCAUGUUCAAAACGACAUGGGCAUGACCACAGUCAUCAGAAGGGUAACCGUUCUAGUCUACCUAAAUUGAAGUCCAGGGUGCGAGACGAGUCUUCACCUGCCAGGAAAGCUCAAAUCACAAAAUGCUCUAGCAAGCUCCGCAGGGCUAGCAGCUCCAGUGGCAUCACCUAUCGGCCCAUUCAAGUGGUGUCAGAUCAUCUAUCCCUACCAGCACCAGAUGGUACAAAAUGCUCUAGCAAGCUACGCAGGGCUAGCAGCUCCAGUGGCAUCACCUAUCGGCCCAUUCAAAUGGUGUCAGAUCAUCUAUCCCUACCAGCACCAGAUGGUUCAAAAUGCUCUAGCAAGCUCCGCAGGGCUAGCAGCUCCAGUGGCAUCACCUAUCGGCCAAUUCAAGUGGUGGCAGAUCAUCUAUCCCUACCAGCACCAGAUGGUGCAGGGCUGAAGAAACAGAAGACCUCGUCUAUGACUAAUGCAACUGCCAUAAGCACCAGCAAGUUUGGUCAAGAUUCACCUUAUCAAGAUAUCGCCAGAUUGAUAACUUUGCAUGGUUAUCCUUUGUCAAUUGUGGAGAAUGAAGAUAUGAGAAGAAUUUUAAAGAACAUCAGUCCCAUGACUAACAAAGUCUCUCUUAGUGAUAUGGAAGAACAUUUACUUGCUCUGUUUCAGAAGAAGAAGAUAAACGUCAAGGAUGAAAUUGCACUUACCUCCCAGCGUAUCUCGCUAUCAGCAAGCAUCUGGACUCAUGAUGGACCUGAGCCAGCAGUAAAUUACCUCUGUUUGACAGCACAUUUUAUUACUGAAGACUGGAAAAUUCACAGAUUAGUAAUCAAAUUCGGCAUGUAUUGGUGCUCACCUACUAAUUUGGAAAGGAUAAUACACUGCAAGGAGGCUUGUGUUCCAGAGUCGGAAAGUGGAUCAUACAAUGUCAUAUGGGAUGCAAUCAGAGACUGGAAUCUUGACCAGAAGAUUUUGAGCCUGACUUCAGUUGGUGAAAUCAAGAAUGAUGCAAAUACCUUGAAGCUCAAGGAGAUGCUCAUAAACAAGAGGUGCCUUCCCAUCAGAGGCAAGCUGUACAACAUUGCUUGUGUGGAUGAUAUGCUAAACAGUGUUGUUUCUGAUGGACGAUCAUAUAUACUUUUCCUUGUUGGUGACAUAGUAAAGGACUUUUUUGGGGCAUGUGCAUCUUCAUCAUCGAUGCAACAGCAGCUUCUGGAAGUUAUUUCACAGAUGAGUUUGAAAUGUCCGCAAGAAGAUGCCAAGUGGUGGCACAAGUUAUAUUUUAGGCUUGAAGUUGUGUUGCAAUUCAACAAGUUGUUUCCUGCUGCAGAAGUGCUGUCUCCAGAAGAUAUGACAGCUACUUGGUCUAUUUGCAAGAUUUUGAGGACAUUUUAUCGUGUCAUCGAAGUAAUUUCUAGCCCUAGCUCUCCGACAGCAAAUGUAUACUUCAGCGAGGUAUGGAAAGUGAGGACAGUUCUGCAAGAAGAAGCAUCAAACGAUCACACAGAGAUUGUGACUCUGGUCAUGGAGAUGCAGGAAGCGUUCGAUGAGUAUUGGCAGAACUCAUACGUGUGGCUGUCAAUACCUGUCGUGUUAGAUCCAAGAUUCAAGAUGAGCUUCAUUCAAUUUCGUCUGCAACGGGCUUACAGCACAGACUCACUGGGCUACUUAUCUGAAAUACAUGAUACAGUCCAGGAACUCUUCGAUGAAUACUACGAUGCUACAGAGCAGCUGAGUGGCGUCCGUCUUUUAAGGAGUGCAGCUUUGGAUACAGCUGAUAAUGAUCCUUUGGAAGAUUGGGAUGAGCAUCUCAAUUGCCAGAUGUCUUCAGAACUUGAGGACUACCUUGGGGAGGUUCUAGUCCCAAGAAAAGACGAUUUCGACAUUCUUAAAUGGUGGAUGGAACACGCCACGAAGUACCCCACACUUGCUGCUAUUGCCCGGGAUGUCUUAGCGAUGCCGGCAUCUGCUGUUCAAUCUGAAGCAGCAUUCAGUAGCAGCGGGCCAGUAAUUCCAAAGCAUCAGAGCACACUGAGCAUCGAGACGAUUGAAGCACUUGUGUGUAGUCGAGAUUGGAUGAGAUAA
rnacentral:rRNA from 1 species